rnacentral:rRNA from 2 species
GGGACACGUGGUAUCCUGUCUGAAUAUGGGGGGACCAUCCUCCAAGGCUAAAUACUCCUGACUGACCGAUAGUGAACCAGUACCGUGAGGGAAAGGCGAAAAGAACCCCGGCGAGGGGAGUGAAAAAGAACCUGAAACCGUGUACGUACAAGCAGUGGGAGCACCUUCGGGUGUGACUGCGUACCUUUUGUAUAAUGGGUCAGCGACUUAUAUUCUGUAGCAAGGUUAACCGUAUAGGGGAGCCGCAGGGAAACCGAGUCUUAACUGGGCGUUAAGUUGCAGGGUAUAGACCCGAAACCCGGUGAUCUAGCCAUGGGCAGGUUGAAGGUUGGGUAACACUAACUGGAGGACCGAACCGACUAAUGUUGAAAAAUUAGCGGAUGACUUGUGGCUGGGGGUGAAAGGCCAAUCAAACCGGGAGAUAGCUGGUUCUCCCCGAAAGCUAUUUAGGUAGCGCCUCGUGAACUCAUCUUCGGGGGUAGAGCACUGUUUCGGCUAGGGGGUCAUCCCGACUUACCAACCCGAUGCAAACUACGAAUACCGAAGAAUGUUAUCACGGGAGACACACGGCGGGUGCUAACGUCCGUCGUGAAGAGGGAAACAACCCAGACCGCCAGCUAAGGUCCCAAAGUCAUGGUUAAGUGGGAAACGAUGUGGGAAGGCACAGACAGCCAGGAUGUUGGCUUAGAAGCAGCCAUCAUUUAAAGA